rnacentral:lncRNA from 1 species
UUCUCUGUUGCUUUAGAUAGCAUCGUCUAAAAACUGGUCACCCAAAGUUUAUGUAUCAAGCCACGCGACACAGGAAAGAGUGUUUCAGCUAUUACAACUUUGUUAUAAAUAGCAGCAAAAUGCACUCCAAACUAGAUCCCCGGACAUAAAUAGUUUGGAGUGCAUGUCUUCAUGCACUCCAAACUAGAUCCCCGGACAUGAAUGGUAACAGCUUACAACUAACGUUACCGUUACAUAGUACCGGCUAAUCAAAAUGCCGGCAAAAACCAAAAGCUCGCUUCUGACAAAAAAGAAUAACUUCCGCAGCGAAACUAAAUUAUGGAGUAAGUUUGCUCUUUUCCAU